rnacentral:rRNA from 1 species
UCCGUAGGCGGAUUAAUAAGUCAGAGGUGAAAUCCCACAGCUUAACUGUGGAACUGCCUUUGAUACUGUUAGUCUUGAGUUAUAUGGAAGUAGAUAGUAUGUGUAGUGUAGCGGUGAAAUGCAUAGAGAUUACACAGAAUACCGAUUGCGAAGGCAGUCUACUACGUAUAUACUGACGCUAAUAGACGAAAGCGUGGGGAGCGAACAGGAUUAGAUACCCUGGUAGUCC